CGGGUGAGUAACGCGUGAGUAACCUGCCUUUCAGAGGGGGAUAACGUUCUGGAAAGAACGCUAAUACCGCAUGAGACUACAGAGCUGCAUGGCUCAGUGGUCAAAGGAGCAAUCCGCUGAAAGAUGGACUCGCGUCCGAUUAGAUAGUAGGCGGGGUAACGGCCCACCUAGUCGACGAUCGGUAGCCGGACUGAGAGGUUGAACGGCCACAUUGGGACUGAGACACGGCCCAGACUCCUACGGGAGGCAGCAUG
rnacentral:rRNA from 1 species